rnacentral:rRNA from 1 species
CAUGCCCUACGGGACGCAGCAGUGAGGAAUAUUGGUCAAUGGGCGUGAGCCUGAACCAGCCAAGUCGCGUGAGGGAAGACGGUUCUAUGGAUUGUAAACCUCUUUUGUCGGGGAGCAAAAGACGCCACGCGUGGCGUUCCGAGAGUAUCCGAAGAAAAAGCAUCGGCUAACUCCGUGCCAGCAGCCGCGGUAAUACGGAGGAUGCGAGCGUUAUCCGGAUUUAUUGGGUUUAAAGGGUGCGCAG